AAGAGAGAAACUUCAGAAGAGUCUUUGCUUUGUUACAGACUGCUACCCAGAAUAUCUAAGUAACUUUCCUCAAGAGCUGAAAGAUCUUCUCUCCUAUAAUCACACCUUCCUGGAUCCAGAUCUUCGAAUGACAUUUUGCAAAGCUUUGAUCUUGCCGAGAAAUAAAAACCUCAUCAGUCAAGUUUAUUAGAACUCUUCUUUGAACUUCUUUGUUGCCAUGGUAAGCUUCUGCAAAAGACUUUAUAUACACAUAUUGUGACUGAUAUCAAAAAUAGAAAUGCAAAACACAAGAACAAUAAAGUGAAUGUAGUGUUGCAGAAUUUCAUGUAUACCAUGUUAAGAGAGAACAGUGCAACUACUGCCAAGAUGUCUUUGGAUGUGAUGGUUGAACUCUAUAGGAGGAACAUCUGGAAUGAUGCCAAAACUGUGAAUGUUAUCACAACUGCAUGCUUCUCUACGGUCACUAAGAUACUAGUUGCUGCUUUGACAUUCUUUCUUGGGAAGGAUGAAGAUGAGAAACAGGACGGUGACUCGGAAUCUGAGGAUGAAGGACCAGCAGCAAGAGACCUCCUGGUGCAGUAUGCUACAGGGAAGAAGAGUUCUAACAGCAAGAAGAGGUUGGAAAAGGCAAUGAAAGUCCUAAAGAAACAAAAGAAGAAAAAUCCAGAAGUGUUUAAUUUUUCAACGAUUCACUUAAUUCAUGAUCCCCAAGAUUUUGCAGAAAAACUACUAAAGCAGCUCGAGAGCUCCAAGGAGAGGUUUGAAGUGAAGAUAAUGCUCAUGAUUAGUAGGGAUUCAUGAGCUUUUCCUUUCAACUUCUAUCCUUUUGUGCAAAGAUUUCUGCAGCCCCACCAAAGAGAAGCAACAAAGAUUCUCUUUGUUGCACAAGCAUCUCAUCACCCCCAAAGAUCAUUCAUUCACUGCUCAUGACAGUGGCCAACAAUUUUGUUACUGACAAGAACUCUGGGGAAGUCACGACUGUAGGAAUCAAUGCUAUAAAAGAUAUAACAGCUCAAUGUCCUCUAGCCAUGACUGAGGAGCUUCUUCAAGACGUGGCUCAGUAUAAAACACACAAAGAUAAGAAUGUAAUGAUGUCUGCUAGAACUUUGAUUCAGCUCUUCAGAUCGCUGAAUCCUCAGCUGCUGCAGAAGAAAUUCCGGGGCAAGCCUACAGAGGCAGCCAUAGAAGCAAGAGUACAAGAAUAUGGAGAAUUAGAUGCUGAAGAUUACAUUCCAGGAGCAGAAGUUCUGGAAGUUGAGAAAGAAGAGAAUGCUGAAAAUGAUGAAGACAGUUGGGAAAGUGCCAGUCUCAGUGAGGACAAGGAGGAGGCAGAUGGGGAAUGGGUUGAUGUGCACCACUCUUCUGAUGAAGAACAGCAAGAAAUUUCCAGGAAGCUGGACAGCAUGCCGAGGGAGGAGCCGAGAGCCAAAGCUGCAGCCAUCAGCACUAGUCGAGUUUUAACUCAGGAAGACUUUCAGAAAAUCCACCUGGCCCAGAUGAAGAAAGAGCUUGAUGCUGCCCCGGGAAAUCCCAGAAGAGGAAAUAUAUUGAAAUAGACAGUGAUGAGGAACCAGGGGCGAAUUACUUUCUCUUCAGGACAUUGAACACCUUCAUAAAAAGCCAAAAUCUGAUAAGGAGACAAGAUUGGCAACUGCAGUGGCUGGAAAGACAGAUUGGAAGGAAUCUGUAAGGAAGAAAACAAAAAUAAAUCCAUUUUCCAGUUCCACAAAUGAAGAGAAGAAAAACAGAAGAACUUUAUGGUGAUGCCGUAUAGUCGGAACAUGGGUCAAAAAAUAAGUGUUCCUUCCAAGAAAAGCAGCUGGCGGAUGCACUUUUGAAAAAGAAAAAGAAUGAAGUUACUUCUAAGCAAGUUUCCAUUCCGAGGAAAAUGCUAAGUUUGUGUCAUUACUUUGAGAAUUAGUAAAUCAAGCAUGUUUGUUUACAUUAAAAAGUACAGAAGGCCUAUGUUGUGAAAACCAUAGUAAAUGUGGCAUCAGUUGGGGGUUUUGUUUGGGAAAUGGGUAACAGUAGGAGUGUUAAAGAUGGAAAUAGCAAUGGUGUUGUAACAUCAUUUGGCGUUUGUGCUUAAAAGUUGAGUGUCAAUGUGUUGUCAGUGUAGAUACAAAAUGAAUGGGUCAUAACCCUUCCUCAAGGCAACUACUGCCUAGUGGGGGCAGGUGUGUGUGUGUUUACAGUGCAGGGUAAAUUGUCCUCUAGCAGAGCUAGGUCCAUAUUUCUGUGGAACCACU